rnacentral:lncRNA from 1 species
GGAGAAGGACCCCCCCUUUGUGUGUCGUCUUCUCCACCCUUCAACCCAAACGACCCCUCGUCGGAAAACCAGUCGCGCAACCUUGGGAGAGGACCUUACGCCUGAAUAUGGAGGCUGCGCAGGAUACUCCCAUGGUGGCCUUUUUCUGAAGCUGGGAGAUGCCUGAUAACAAUACACGAGGCUGCGCAGAGGGUGCAAAGAACGCCCCCACCCCUUUUGGCCAUCUUCUUCGCACCACCAAACCAAACAUGGACCUAUGAUUUCUCACGUUAAACUAGCCACCGAAAACCUCCAUCUUCUUCAUCUCUCGUCGUGAACUCACAUAGGCACCCCUCCGCAUCGUCUUUUCUAAACCAACAGCACACACACAUAGAGUCACGUAAAAAAUAGAAACGGGACAGAAAUAAAAAUGGCCUCAAGUUCGUGGAAUAUUUGAAAAUCAGAGAAAAAAUUAAAACAAAAAUGAAAAAAAAAUAAAGAAAGACGUCUGUUCUUCUGGUUCAAUGAUUUUCGUUCCAGAAAUGGACGUGUUUGAGUUCAAGGCCAGUCCUAGUUCGUGAAAUCAAAGUGUUGUUUGAGGUUGCC